rnacentral:rRNA from 1 species
UCCUACGGGACGCAGCAGUGGGGGAUAUUGCACAAUGGGGGGAACCCUGAUGCAGCGACGCCGCGUGAAGGAAGAAGUAUCUCGGUAUGUAAACUUCUAUCAGCAGGGAAGAAAAUGACGGUACCUGACUAAGAAGCCCCGGCUAACUACGUGCCAGCAGCCGCGGUAAUACGUAGGGGGCAAGCGUUAUCCGGAUUUACUGGGUGUAAAGGGAGCGUAGGCGGCAGUGCAAGUCAGAAGUGAAAGCCCGGGGCCCAACUCCGGGACUGCUUUUGAAACUGUACCGCUUGAUUGCAGGAGAGGCA